rnacentral:lncRNA from 1 species
UUACUUUUUCCCUUUUGUCUCUCCCCUUUGGAAUGCAAGGAAGGAUCACCAGAUUGGGAUAUCUGGAACCUUACAAAUCUGGGGCACAGAAUAGAAACUGGGAAAUCUGCAAAUAGAUUCUUUUUUCAUUUGUAUGCACACUUUGUUCAUAAAUUUUAUGUUUUCUCAUGUGGAUUUGGUUGGCAAUGUUCAUAUGACUGUGUCAUUAUGCAGAUCCAACCCAAUUGUGGGUUGCCCAUGCUGCUCAUGGAUCCAAAUUUUAGGGCUAUAAUCCAACACUUGGAAAUAGGUUGUAGCAAUUCACACACAGUGUUUUAAAAAAUAAAUAAAUAAAUAAAUAAGUUUUAUAUUUGUAUUCUUAAAAACGUCUUUAUUUUAUCAAAUAUAAUCAUCAAAAAUAUACCAAGAUCUAUCGAAAUCCAAAUUUGUUGCUAUGAAUUUAUACUCCAUGGCACAAUAACCCAUGUUUCUCACUAUAUAGAUGCUAUCAAUUAUUACGACAACUAUUCAAGCCAAACUUCAAAAUAAUGAAGUAAGUUAAUUUUGACAAAAGAAAUGUAACGUUUCAUGGGCUUACUCCAACUACACUCAUGGUAUUGUAAAUUUUAUGUUUUAUCUAUGUUAUGAAAUUAUUUUAUUUUAUUUUAAAAUAAAAUUUAGAAUUUUGUUUAUUUUAUUAGAUUUAUGACAUGAAAAUAUUUAAUUUGUUGUUAUUAUUGACUAUUCAAUUUAUUCUUUUAUUUUAAAAAUUUUAGUUCAUGGUUGUUAAUUGUAAUAAAAUUGAAAAUUUAUCUUUUUUCAGAAAUCUUCAAUUAAACAAUGGAGUCAAAUUAUAUUAGAUUUACAAACUGAUUACAAUAGUAAAAAUAUGUUCAACACUCAUUUCGUUAUUCCCUGUUGCUUGUCCAAUGCUUACUUUCUUCAAAAAUAAUUAAAAUUCAAAUGAUACGUUUAUUUUCUGAUAAAUUUUAAAAAUGUUUGUCUCAAAUUCUGCACAAUAAUUCAAUUUUGUGUUUUUGAAAUAAAUAAAAUUAAAGAUACUUGUAUUUUGAAAUAUCUGUCCCCAAGCAACUCACAUUGAACUUAUAAUUUUAUCUACUAAUUUAUGUAUGCAUGGAAAUGGCAUAAGCUCAUUUUAAGGACUUGUUUUUCUUUCCCCUUAUCCAAGUCAUGAAUGUUUUGGGUAAUAGGUGAAUUCUUGGAUAUGAUGGAAAAGAAUUAAACAAUUGUAAACAAUUUUAAACAAAACCUUUUUGUGUGCCAAAUGUUUCAGUGUUCAUUCCUUCAUUCAUUCGUAUUUGUGUAUAUACAUGAUUUCAUAAAAUAUAAUAUAAUAUAACAUAUAUUUUUGGCAAUAUUUUCUACACAAAACAAAAACCGUAACGGAAAUAAAUGUUAAAAUGAAUGCGUCAUAUGCACAAUGUUGUCAAUGGUUGUUAGUGCGGGACCGCAAAAGAAUUCCGAGGUUAUCACAAGACGCACAUCCUCUCACUUGCCAUGUGAGUACCAUGUUUGAAACUGAUGCAGCAUUUCAUGUUUUGUUCAAUUAUUGUAUGAAGUGAGGGACUCAAUAUUUCGUGAGUGUAAAAGCGUAAUGUGGGUGGUGAUAAGCAUACUUUGUUAACGUAGGAACCAUUUCGAUUCUUUCCUACGUAGUCCACUCUUCCAAAACCAUGAAGUACAAUUCCGUCAUGUCCACAAGCGUCGGCAGACCUAUCGCCAGAUAUAAAGAUAGACUCAUUGGCAGACAGACGACAGACAGACAGACAGAUAGUAGAUAGUAGAUAGAUAGAUAGAUCAGUGUUCUGUCUGUAUGUUUCGACCGGGGCAAACUCA